ACUUGCUUUAUUUAAAAGUUGUGUUAUCUUGUGUGAGAUUAAACGGCCCCGCGUUGGUUUUGCGGGGUGAUUUUUUUCUGUAGGACCCUGCCGCAAACUAAUGUCGCAUCCUCCAGUCAAAAAUCUUUGAAACUUUUAUUUUAGGAGGAUGUUCUCCAUGGCAAAUGGUACUGUAAAGUGGUUUAACGAUCAAAAAGGUUUUGGUUUUAUUGAGCAAGACGGCGGCCCCGAUGUUUUCGUGCAUCAUUCCGCAAUCAACUCCAGCGGCUUCAGGAGCCUGAACGAAGGCGACCGGGUGACCUUCGAUAUCGAGCAGGGCGCCAAGGGCCCCUCUGCGAAAAACGUCACCGUAGGUUAAGUUUUCGCAAGAUAGUUCAAGGACGCGCUUCUCAAUAGAAGCGCGUCCUUU
rnacentral:sRNA from 1 species